UACGUAGGGUGCGAGCGUUAAUCGGAAUUACUGGGCGUAAAGCGUGCGCAGGCGGUUUUGUAAGCCGGAUGUGAAAUCCCCGGGCUUAGCCUGGGAAUGGCAUUCGGGACUGCAAGGCUGGAGUGCGGCAGAGGAGACUGGAAUUCCUGGUGUAGCAGUGAAAUGCGUAGAUAUCAGGAGGAACACCGAUGGCGAAGGCAGGUCUCUGGGCUGACACUGACGCUCAUGCACGAAAGCGUGGGGAGCAAACAGG
rnacentral:rRNA from 1 species